AUAUCACAUUAAAACACCGAUUCCCGUACGAACACUGGAGUUAAGCAAUGUUGAGCCAGGUUAGUACCUAGAUGAGUGACCGCUUGGGAAUAAAGGGUGCUGUAAG